CCGGCUUGUGCGGGAGGGAUCGUCCCUCAACAGGUCCCUCCCCUGAGGAGUGCGCUGCUGCCGGAGACGGAGUGUGCACGAGCCUGUGGAGCUCCAGAGUCUGCAGAACGCCGUCUCUCUCUGCUUCAGCUGCCCGUCUGGUCAUGCCUGAUCGUCUCUCCGCUCUUCAGCGUCUUGGUGAAGGUAAACUCUGUGACGGAUCCGGCUCGACCUCGACCCGUCCCUCACGCCUUGCCUGGAGAGAACCACCGGUUCACAUCAGUAACCUGUUCAUCUUGUUCACCCACUGUAACAAGGACAGCAAUUUGAGGGUCAAGGGUCAGUUUCAGGCAAUGGGGUGGAGAGGAGGAUGACAUGCGGUAAACAUCAAUGGGCCGGGACUCGAACCAGUGACAGCCACGUUGAGGGCGGUAACUCCUGCACCACCAACACGCUCGAAGAAGGGAAAUCUUUAUGGGAAAAAGUGUUUCUGAGCUCCCAUUGCACCUGAAUGACCACUGUAGCUUCCAAACAAUGUUUACAGAAAACAGAAAUAUCAGUUUUUAUUUUAAAGUCUUUAACAUUUAUUGUGUUUUACCGACACUGUGGCCGCGAACGUUCAGGUAACAUAACACGUCUAGGUAGGAAAAGAAAUAAAGAAAAGGUGAAGAUGAAUGAAAUACUUGAAAAGAGACUCUAAUUGUUUAGUGAUUUUACACCAAAGGAAAGAAUACCAUUUUAAACUGAGUGGCCCAACUUUAAAACUGUAUUUUUUAAUCACAAACCUUGACAGCUACCUGGCAGAAACUCCAUAGCAUGUUAUUUUACACAAUUUGUUUAACACAUGUCCAACUAUUCAUGCAGUCAAGGACUGAAAAAUCUGAUACUUUUUUGCUCUUAAAUGCAUCAAAACUAGAAACUCCCACUUCUGUCGGUCUAUAAAUGCAUCAACAAGCAGCCUGUUCUUUGAAGCACUUUGUUCUGAGUUUGGUAUGAAUCAAAUAAAAGUUGGGGACAUUUUGCUUUUGAUGCAUGAAGGGGGUGACUGUGUAAUCCCUCCAUGUUUUGUUGAAUUCAAAACUACUACUUUGAUCGAGGAACCUGCACCCAGAAGCAUUAUUUAAAGUUUUGUUUUUUUUUAUGGUCAGUGCUUGUUACAUUUAAUUACUGAAUUAAAAACCAAAUUUACACUUGAA